CCGUACGAUCAUACUACAUUGAACGCACGGCAUCCCGUCAGAUCUACGAAGUUGAGCAACGUUAGCCUGAGCUAGUGUACUACGGUUGGAGACAACAUGGUAACACGUAGUGUCGUAGGUC
rnacentral:rRNA from 1 species